GCCCGCCUAGCUCAAUCGGAUAGAGCGUCAGACUUUUACGGCGGAGUUACUAAGCUGAUAUUAAAUCUGAAGGCUGCGAGUUCGAUCCCUCGCGGUGGGCU